rnacentral:rRNA from 1 species
UGGGGAAUAUUGGGCAAUGAGCGAAAGCCUGACCCAGCAACGCCGCGUGAAGGAAGAAGGUCUUCGGAUUGUAAACUGCUUUAGACAGGGAAGAGAAAGGACAGUACCUGUAGAAUAAGCUCCGGCUAACUACGUGCCAGCAGCCGCGGUAAUACGUAGGGAGCGAGCGUUAUCCGGAUUUAUUGGGUGUAAAGGGUGCGUAGACGGGAAUACAAGUUAGUUGUGAAAUACCUCGGCUUAACUGAGGAACUGCAACUAAAAACUAUAUUUCUUGAGUGCAGGAGAGGUAAGUGGAAUUCCUAGUGUAGCGGUGAAAUGCGUAGAUAUUAGGAGGAACACCAGUGGCGAAGGCGACUUACUGGACUGAAACUGACGUUGAGGCACGAAAGUGUGGGGAGCAAACAGGAUUAGAUACCCUGGUAGU